UACGUAGGGACCGAGCGUUGUCCGGAAUCAUUGGGCGUAAAGAGCGUGUAGGCGGCCACUUAAGUCCUGCGUGAAAUCUUGCGGCUCAACCGCAAGCGGUCGUGGGAAACUGGGUGGCUAGAGUGCGGGAGAGGAGAGUGGAAUUCCUGGUGUAGCGGUGGAAUGCGCAGAUAUCAGGAGGAACACCGAUGGCGAAGGCAGGUCUCUGGGCAUUAACUGACGCUGAGGAGCGAAAGCAUGGGGAGCGAACAGG
rnacentral:rRNA from 1 species